AAGAUGGAAGGGAGCAAGGGCAGCCCCAGGAUGUCCACUGAACAGGAGAACACAGAGAUGCAUCUCAUUGAAUGUAUGUUAAAGCACUUCAAGACACAGAAAGUGGCCAUUUCUAAUGCGAUAAGAAGUACAUUUCCUUUUCUUGAGAGCCUCCGAGACCGUGAAUUCAUCACUGGUAAAAUGUAUGAAGAUUUGCUAGAUUCCUGUAGAUCGCUGGUCCCUGUGGACAAAGUGAUCUACAGAGCCCUGGAGGAACUGGAGAAGAAAUUUGACAUGACGACCACAGUGUGUGUCGGGAGCCUGGAAAGGAGACUGAGACCAUGCGCAUCAUCAGAGGGACACGAAUGCAGAAGUGAAGGAGCGGCUUGGUCCUCCACUUCUUUGGGCAGAAG
rnacentral:lncRNA from 1 species